rnacentral:lncRNA from 1 species
AUCUAGAGUUUCCAGGGUGACAGUGAACGCAGCAAGAUUAUCCACCGGUGCUGAUUCAUCAGAAAGUCGCCCAUCAUCUGAUAAGACUCAAUAAGAUUUCGAGGGUAACUAUAUAUUUUUUUUUAAUUUAUAUUAAAUGGAUGUUCUGUUUACUUUUUGAAGUCGUUUUCUGUCUACAGUUUGAGUUAGUUUAUAGGUCUUAAACCGCCCCUCCUCCCUCUGUGAUUCACUUGUUAAACAGUGGAGGCUAACGUUACCGGCCGGUGAGCGCGUGUCUGCUCCUAAACGUAAUAUUAUUAACGUAUGUUAAAAUGUGAAAAAAUGUCCUGGCUGUAAGUAUCAAUCCGCGUCAACAAAAAACGGCAUCUCAUUCAAAUAAAAUAAUUUCUACAAGCUUUUUGAGCUCACUUAUCGCUAGCUGGGCGUGCUAAUGCUUCAUUUCCGCAUUGAUGUUGGUCCGUCUGUUCAUGUUGAGGCUUGAUAAGUUGAUUUGAAAGCUGCAAGAUCAGUGAUCAAAGCACGUUUGCGAAAAUGAUCGAGGAGCGUAUUUGUACGCAUUUUAUCAAUUUUAAUUGACGUUUGCGUUCAUUUAAAGGCCUUAAAACCUGUUAAAGAGACAGCCACAGUCCGAAACUUGGUUCACCUUUUUGGUAAAUUUAGACCUACCCUGCUAAUAAUCCAUCAUAACUACGCGAGAGCAUUGAAAAUAUUACUCUUGCUACAUUAUUUUAUUAUCCUAAAAAAUUCGGCUCAUCAAAAAGACACCCACAUUUUCAAUUUAUUCGUUUUAUCAUAGUAGUACUGGGUCCUAAGUGGAAAAAUCGAACAACUUGCGGUAAUGGAAUUAAAGGUCUAGUAAGUAAUGUGCUGGAUUUUUAACUGUUAUAUCUUUAUUGGCUAUAAAGUAAAAUUAAACCAUAAUUUGCUAGAGUUUUUGUACUGUUAAUGCCUGAAUCUGCAAACACUGGGUAUGUGACAGAUGAAUUGAUUAUUGAUUUGUCUACAUUUUUACUAGCAGUUGGACAUUUGACUGUUUAAAGAAAUGCCAAAACAAGGCUUUUUAUUGGAAAACACAGGACAUAGUCAGAGAUAAAAGAAUCAACAUAAACAUCAAGUUCCUAGUGGGAGCUUUAAGUUAACCUUGUUUUUUUUUCUUUCUUUUUUUGCAACACUGGGGUUGGGGUGGGGGACGUUAGUUUUAAUGACCUGAUGUGAAGUGAAGAUUUCAAGAGAAGUGAAAUUAACUUAUUAUGUGUAAACAGAGAAAAUGUACUGAAAUGGGGCUUCCAUUCUGGUACCCAGAAAAAUGUUACUAAAGUAGGAUCUGCACGUCAGAACAUUAAAUUGAGAUCAUUUUAAAUGGAGGUUGGUGUGGUGUUCUCUCUCUGCAAAAGGAGUACAUUCAUCAGUAAUAAUUCAUGCCAUCUGAGCAUACUUUCUUUAUACUUUGUGAUAACAUAUGUCUCUUUUUCUUCCCCACUUUAUAGGAACAAUGAAUGUGGAACACGAAGUGAAAUUACUGGUGCAGGAGAUCCAGCGACUCGGCUCCAAAAGUGAGUUCAUUCUUUCUGAAUCACUCAUCCAAUGCUGUACACUAUAAUAAAACAUGGCCAUGCCAUCACAAUCUUGAUCAUUAGUUCCAGCUUAUUGCCAGGGCUGCUGUAACACAGUGGUGGAGUUGGUUCCCUGCUCCCACAGUCCUUGUACUUGAGUGUCUUUGGGCAUGUUGCUGAACCUGAAAUUGCUCCAAGCGGCAGAACCAGCAGUGUGUGAAAGCCAGAAUUACAAGGAGGUUUAAAAAAACAAAAACCCUGAUACCUGUAAUAUUGUAGGCCAAAAAUGCUGGUCAUUUGUUGCGUCAAAGCAGUUGUCCACCACCAGUGGACACUAGGGUUGUCAUGAUACUAAAAUUUUAAACUCAACAUCGAUACCCAGGAAAAUACUUGAAGGCCAGGGUGCGGGUCCUUGAGGUAUUUUACCAAAUGCGUCGUGCGACUCGACUUUGUCGCCACCACUUUGAAAUACUGGCUAUACUUGGCAGCAGUAAAACGCGGGACAGCAAGUGGGGGGUUCUCCCGACUGCUGGGCGCUGAAUGCCGGGUCAGCUGCGCUGCUUGCAGAAUGCUCGAAGUGGUCACUGCGAACAUGCACACCAUGGUAUCGAUAUUAUGGCAAAUUAGUAUCGUAUCCGGAUACGGCAUGUAAGAAUCGAUACUCUUCAAAGUAUCAAUAUUUUUAACAACCCUAGUGGGCACUGUGGCACUGGUCAUGGGCAACUGCCAUUAUACUAUAAUACUCUAUAAUACUAUUAUAAUAAUAAUAUUAUCUGAAUGCAAACAAGCACAGAUUGCCGAUAGUGAGGUUUUUUUUGUUUGUUUGUUUUUUUAACAUUAAUGCAAUAGACUGAAAUUUGAAUUGAUGCUAUGGCGUCAAUUCAGUGCCAAAAAUCCGCGCGCAUAAAAAAACAUAUCAGCGCGCCCAAAAACACCUACCCGCGCACUUGCCGUCACUGUCUGCACGCUCGCAGUGUCUGUACACACACGCACUGUCUCUCUCAGGGCUCUCUGCGCGCUCAACUCGGUUAGAUAGAUAGAUUGAUUGAUAGAUAGAUAUUCGUUGCUAAUUGGUCAUUUUAAGUGCUCACUGACAGAUUCAAUCCGAGGCAUAAGAUAAAUCCCCACCGAGGCACUCUUACCUCUUGCACAUUUUUUGUCUAUCGCUAAUUCCGUCAUUGGAGUUAGUGACGAAUCACACGCCUCGAAAUUAGCCGGCUCUAAACUAUUUUUUUCAGCUGCUGUGGCACAAGACAAGUUAAAAAUCGCACCACACACACACACACACACACACACACAUUGCUAUUAUAACACGAAUUGUGUGGCAAUCAUCUUAAGAGGAGGCAAAAUGAAUCAAAUUAACGGUACACAAAGUUCGUUAUUAAGCUGGUGAAAUGAUGAAAAUAGGUUAGAUUGUCGUGCCUUCUUUAGAAAGCUUAAGUCUUCUGUAACAUUUAUGAUGUCCUCGUUGUCAUUGUGAUUUUGCACAUAAUAUUAUUACUGAUUUCCAGCAUCUGAGGUCUGAGUUGCUUUUUUUCACCUCAACUUUAUUCAGCACCUGUCAAUCCUCUGACAAAAUUGAUGAGCAUAACGUCACAAAAAUUAGCCACAUACACUACAUCUCUUUUUUUCCCCUUCAAAACUUUAUUAAGAAUUGCGCACAAAAAAGAUUAUUGCAACUGUUUGCUAGCAAACAACGAAUAUCUAUCUAUCUAUCUAUCUAUCUAUAUAUCUAUCUAUCCAUCCACCAAUCCUACUUUGCCUCCGAUUGGCCUUGACCUGGCGUCAAUCGGUUCUAAGUGACCAAUCAGAGUGGAGGGGAGGUGCAGAGUGGCCUGCCCCCGGAGUGCCAAAAUUCAACUGAGUCAAGCGCGCAGAGGGCUCUGAGAGAGACAGCGCGCUUGUGUACAGACAGUGCAAGCACGCAGACAGUGACCGUGAGCACGCGGGUAGUGACGGCGAGCGCGCAGACAGUGACCGCGAGCGCGGAGGUAGGUGUUUUUAUGCGCGUGUGUGUUUUUUAUGCACGCGGAUUUUUGGCAGCGAAUUGAAGCCAUAUGAUGCCCUCUAGAUAUAACAAGAUUAGCUGGGACAACUGUUAAUUCUUAUGUAGCAGUUUUUGAUAACUGAAAAUUAUGUGAGGGGAUAGGUGUCAGCCAAUUAACUUAUAAAAAAAACAAAACUUGUUUUGCUCUGUCCACAGAGGGCGCCAAAAUUGACCCAAACUGAAAGUUUCUUUUCGGACCUUUUAAAUAGUAAAACCUGUAUAUUUCCCUAAAUCAGUGUUUAUCAGCAUGCCUCUCUCAUUUCAGAUGCUGAUGGUCAAACUUCUGUGAAGUUUGGGGUCUUGUUUAAUGACGACCAGUGUGCCAACAUCUUUGAGGCGUUGGUGGGGACCCUGAAGGCGGCGAAGAGAAAGAAGAUGAUUGACUUCAAGGGCGAGCUGCUCCUCCAGGGUGUCCAUGAUAAUGUCGAUAUCAUCCUGCUCCAAGAAUGAGGAGCUUCUGCAGUGUUCCCGCUUAUCACUGAGCUUUUGUUUCCAGUUAAUUUCUUCAUGUGCAAGGCUCAGUAUUUCAAUUCAAACAUAAUGAUCUAUUAAGUCCAACUGUGCAUUUACCGACCAAGCUGGCUUUCCUAGAUUUAAUUUCUCUGUACCAAACAGGAUCACACCAAGUUAUUUCAGGAUAAAUUUAGUUUUCCAUUGGCUGAAUAACACCUACAUUCAAAGAAAAGUUCACUCUUUCUCAGGCACUGCUUUUUUACCAACCACAGGUCUGACAUGCCUUUUGAUAUACUUUUAAGACUAUAAACGCACACAUCAGGAUUGUAAUUACAUGUCUAACACAACUAUCUGGGAGUCUUAUCAUUUCAGAGAUAUAAAAGCCUGUCUUGAUUGUUUUGUGUCAGGAAAAACAGACAUAGUUACUGAUAUAGAUUAGAUUUAGCAGCUUCUGCACACCUUCAAUCUGAUCCUGAUAAUUUAUCGGAAGUGGGCACUUGUGUCUAAAGCAGCACUGGGCAAAUGUCUGUGUAGCUUUAAAUGAAAAGGUAGUGUGUGUCCACCCAUCAUGUCACCAAAUGGCAGUCCUAUAUAAUGUUUACACAAGCCGUUGAUACUACCUCUUGUGAGUUUUGUAAAAGGCAUUUUAAGAGCAGUGCUUUGGGAAACCUAACAACAAUCCCUUGAAAGAAACAACGUAAACAAAGUGCAUUUCAAGAAAGAUUUUUGCACCUUUUUGUACUUUACAAACUACUGCAGUAGUUUUUAUUCCAUCUUUUUUUACAGUGAGUCAAUAAUGAUUUUUUUCUCGGUUUAAAAAAAAAAAUCUCCAAAUUGACUUGCCUUUUGUAAGAAACAGUUGGUGAGCGGAUGGCGAAUGUAUUUCUUGUGCAAUUGAUAUUACUGUAUAAUAACAGGGUAAUUGGUGCCAAAUGCAAAAGAUGAAUUUGUAAUAUCUCUCAGGACCAAAAUCAACCAAAAUAUUUUUAAUAACUGUCCUGUGGCUAAAAUAAGGAGUCUUAUUUGUGACACAAGAUGUGCAUUUAUAGUUUUAUUAGUUUGUUGUUUUUCAGUCUUUGUUAUGUACUGUAGGUCUGAUAACACUUGCAGACCAUGGGUGGAUAUUUCCUUUACUUUGCAGGUAUCAAAGGUCAUAAUAUACGGGUGGUUUAUCAUGUCUAGGUAAAAAAAAAGUUAGUUUUUGACAUUACUUGGAUGUUAAAAUAGCAUUGAUUUAAAAAUUGGCCUCCAACAAAGCUUGGAGUGGGGUUUGUAUGGAAGUUAAAGGUGUUUAAAACUACACAGUAUCAAAGUGAUAAAUGAUGAAAAAAAUAAUUUGAUAAAUUCAGUGAAAUUAUGACACAGCACAACAGUGUGAAGUAUCUUCUUUAACUUUGGAUCUCAAUUUUUACAAAAUAGUUUUACAAUAGUGAUAACAAAUGUUUUCAUUAUCAAAAUCUCUUUAUUUUCAAGGGUUUUUUCCCAAGUAACUAUUUUAUUCAAAAAUGGGAGGGAUCAUCAGUUUGAAAAAACAUAGUUGGUUUAAAAAUGGUUAAUACAAAAAGUUCAUUUUACAACAGCAUAGAAUUACCACCAAUUAUUGUUAAUAUGAAAAGAAGCCAAGUUAGUAGGACAGUGGGUCGUUAAAUGUUUGGCCACUUCGGCGUUCCAUAAAUCUAACUGCAGUCCACUGAAUGUCAGACGAAUCAUGUAAACCAGGAAGAGCGGCAAUCAUUUUACUUCUCUUCCUUGGCAACUGUUUGGGACAUUUUCAUAGUUAAAAUACUAUUACCAUGCUUGAUCUGCAAGUUUUAUAAGACCAAUUUCACAUUCACUGCUGUUUUUUAACCUAGCUAAAACUGGUGGAUUCCGGUGUUUGUUUCAGCUUGACUUGUUUUUUUUGUUUGUUUGUUUUUUAUCACAGAGGGGACCAUUCACUUGUUUUGUGGUUGUAAAGAUAGAUCAAUUGUUUGUUAAAAUCAAGGAAAUUAAAUUGUGAAUACAACUAAACUGUGGCCUAAGAAGUCAAAAGGCUAAAUAGAAGUCCAAAAGUUAUAAGUAUCAGAGAGAAAAGCAAUGAGCGAAGAAGAAAACAUGCUGCUUUCAUCACUGUCAUUUUGUAUUAUCCUGCUGUCAUAGCUCCAGAGCGAAUCUCAGUUGGCCUCCAUGAACAUAAAUGCAAACAGUACAAGUCACACGUUUGCAAGAGGAGAAAGUUCUGAUCGGAGCAGUGCCAAUACCUCGAGCCAUUUCUGUGACCAAGUGGAAUGCCUGCAUGAUGAGUUCAAGUGCGUCAUUACUGUCUUUUAUACUGGCAAUAAAACAGAACAGAGAUUUCUGUUAUACUCUGAGAAAUAAAACCUUUACACCUGAAGCCUUGAA